rnacentral:tRNA from 1 species
GCAUUAAUGGGGUAGUGGUAACCUGGGUCAUUGCCAUCACAAUUUGGCAAUCCUGCUUAUGAAAUAUACUUGCUUGACCCGCUGGGGGUUCAAUUCCCUCUUAAUGUA